rnacentral:rRNA from 1 species
UACGGAGGGGGCUAGCGUUGUUCGGAAUUACUGGGCGUAAAGCGCACGUAGGCGGCUUUGUAAGUUAGAGGUGAAAGCCCAGGGCUCAACCCUGGAAUUGCCUUUAAGACUGCAUCGCUUGAACAUCGGAGAGGUAAGUGGAAUUCCGAGUGUAGAGGUGAAAUUCGUAGAUAUUCGGAAGAACACCAGUGGCGAAGGCGGCUCACUGGACCGGCAUUGACGCUGAGGUGCGAAAGCGUGGGGAGCAAACAGG